ensembl:lncRNA
GGUUGAAAGCCGGAGUGAGUCGGUUCAUGGACGUUUGGCACCCGAUUCUCCCGCUUCAGAAAAACCCGAGAAGCAUCCGGCCUCCAGUCGAAUGCGUCGUAAAGGAGAGGACCACAAAGGAGGCGCGUACCUUCUUGUUCUCCUCUCUGUAGGCCGCCGUGGCUUUACGUACAUGGAGAAGCAGCCUUUUUCAGCUCCACGUAUCUGGAACAAAGUCUCAGAAAGCUGCAGGUCUGCUGGGUCCCUCAGCUCCAUUAAAUCCAAAUCAAAGACUUUUCUUUUUGCUGCUGCCUUAAAUUUCUCGCUCUCUGCUGGUCAGCUGCAGCUUCACGCUGUGUGUUUCUCCGUCGCUCUGGAGACGCCGGCGGUUCACCACCACAACCACCAGAGGUCUCAGAUCCUGCAGAGGAGAGAGGACCACAGGCAUCAUCAAGUGUGGAGGAAACCUUUUUACGGAAGCAGUGAGAGAGAAGAGCACAG